UCUAGGGUUUUUAAUUAAAGGUUCUGCUGAGAGAUUGAGAGUUGAGAAGCGAGAGAGAUUGAGAUUGAGAGUUGAGACGCGAGAGAGAUUGAAAGGUUGCCUGGAGCGUCCACUGCUGCCAUCGAUUGCCGCUGCUCGUUUGUCUUCCUUGUCUUCAGUGAUUUCACAUUUGGUAUCGUAACUGUCAUUUUGGCAUUAUUAGUAGAAGAUUCAACUACAUUGUUGAUGUCUUAUUGACCGGCGGCAUUAUUAGUAGGAGAUUCAAGAUCUUUGGAACCUCCAAGGGAUGUGGGAGAGGGACAAUAAUGUUAAACAAUCACAAAUGACGUGAUUAAGGAGGAAUGCGAAGACACUACAUAUGUUGCUUUUUUAAUUUUAUGUAAGUGCAUAAAAUAUACAAUAGCGUAUUGUGUAGUAGGAGUAUAUUUAACUGGCUUUUUAGUGGUAGAACUGUUUGAAAUAUUCGAGAUGUGGUGUAUUUUGUUGUGUUCUCUGUAAUGCUAUUGGUUGAUUUGCUAUUGAUAUG